CCCAUAAAUAUUAAAAGGUCUGUUUAGGUCCCUUAACUUCAUUUAAAGUAUCGGUUUGGUCCCUUUUGUUAAUUUAAUUCAAAAAACGGUAAGUUUACGGACCAAACUAAUACUAAUUAAAUAAGUUAAAGGAUCAAAAUUUAACGUUUUUUUGAAUUAAAUUAACAGAAACGACCAAACUGAUACUUUAAAUAAAGUUAAGGGACCUAAACAGACUUUUUAUUACUUAUGGGA
rfam:Medicago truncatula strain A17 chromosome 4, whole genome shotgun sequence.